rnacentral:rRNA from 1 species
AUUGAACGCUGGCGGCAGGCCUAACACAUGCAAGUCGAGCGGAUGAAGAGAGCUUGCUCUCUGAUUUAGCGGCGGACGGGUGAGUAAUGCCUAGGAAUCUGCCUGGUAGUGGGGGAUAACGUCCGGAAACGGGCGCUAAUACCGCAUACGUCCUACGGGAGAAAGCAGGGGACCUUCGGGCCUUGCGCUAUCAGAUGAGCCUAGGUCGGAUUAGCUAGUUGGUGAGGUAAUGGCUCACCAAGGCUACGAUCCGUAACUGGUCUGAGAGGAUGAUCAGUCAGCAUGGAACUGAGACACGGUCCAGACUCCUACGGGAGGCAGCAGUGGGGAAUAUUGGACAAUGGGCGAAAGCCUGAUCCAGCCAUGCCGCGUGUGUGAAGAAGGUCGUCGGAUUGUAAAGCACUUUAAGUUGGGAGGAAGGGCAGUAAGUUAAUACCUUGCUGUUUUGACGUUACCGACAGAAUAAGCACCGGCUAACUUCGUGCCAGCAGCCGCCGUAAAAC